rnacentral:tRNA from 1 species
GGGGCUGAGUGGUAAAGCGCUUGGCUUCUGUACAGAGGUCCCAGGUUCAAAUCCUGGC